UUAAGCCAUGCGAGUCGAAUGUAGCAAUACAUGGCGAACUGCUCAGUAACACGUGGACAACCUGCCCUUAGGUUGGGUAUAAACCCGGGAAACUGGGUAUAAUACCCGAUAGGUCUCGAUUGCUGGAAUGCAUCGAGAUUUAAAGCUCCGGCGCCUAAGGAUGGGUCUGCGGCCUAUCAGGUAGUAGUGGGUGUAGCGUACCUACUAGCCUACGACGGGUACGGGUUGUGAGAGCAGGAGCCCGGAGAUGGAUUCUGAGACACGAAUCCAGGCCCUACGGUGUGCAGCAGGCGCGAAAACUUUACAAUGCUGGCAACAGCGAUAAGGGAACCUCGAGUGCCAGGUUACAAAUCUGGCUGUCGAGAUGCCUAAAAAGCAUUUCAUAGCAAGGGCCGGGCAAGACCGGUGCCAGCCGCCGCGGUAACACCGGCGGCUCGAGUGGUAACCGUUAUUAUUGGGUCUAAAGGGUCUGUAGCCGGCCGGAUAAGUCUCUUGAGAAAUCUGGCAGCUUAACUGUCAGGCUUUCAGGAGAUACUGUCUGGCUCGAGGCCGGGAGAGGUGAGAGGUACUUCAGGGGUAGGGGUGAAAUCUUGUAAUCCUUGAAGGACCACCAGUGGCGAAGGCGUCUCACCAGAACGGACCUGACGGCAAGGGACGAAAGCUAGGGGCACGAACCGGAUUAGAUACCCGGGUAGUCCUAGCCGUAAACGAUACUCGCUAGGUGUCGGCCACGGUGCGACCGUUGUCGGUGCCGUAGGGAAGCCGUGAAGCGAGCCACCUGGGAAGUACGGCCGCAAGGCUGAAACUUAAAGGAAUUGGCGGGGGAGCACCACAACGGGUGGAGCUUGCGGUUUAAUUGGAUUCAACGCCGGAAAUCUUACCGGGACCGACAGCAAUAUGAAGGCCAGGCUGAAGACUUUGCCGGAUUAGCUGAGAGGUGGUGCAUGGCCGUCGUCAGUCGUACUGANNAU
rnacentral:rRNA from 1 species